rnacentral:sRNA from 1 species
GCUGUACCGGUUAGAUUGGGAUACUCAUCAAUAAUUACGUGAAAACCGAGACCAGCUGAUUUGUUCAAUGGCGUGCCGAUAUGCGCUGUAAAGCGUAGGGUCGGAUUACAGAGACUGAUUAGCCCUCAAAUCCUAUUCGCUCGGAGUUUCAUCACAUCACCGGUACAGCCCUUUU